UACAGAGGGUGCAAGCGUUGCUCGGAAUUAUUGGGCGUAAAGCGCGUGUAGGCGGCUUGUUAAGUUGGUUGUGAAAACCCAUGGCUCAACCAUGGAAGGGCGUCCAAAACUGGCAAGCUAGAGUCCCGACGAGGAUGGCGGAAUUCCCAGUGUAGAGGUGAAAUUCGUAGAUAUUGGGAGGAACACCGGUGGCGAAGGCGGCCAUCUGGGAGGGCACUGACGCUGAGACGCGAAAGCGUGGGGAGCAAACAGG
rnacentral:rRNA from 1 species